UAAGGAAUAUUGGUCAAUGGAGGGAACUCUGAACCAGCCAUGCCGCGUGCAGGAUGACUGCCCUAUGGGUUGUAAACUGCUUUUGUCCAGGAAUAAACACCUCUACGUGUAGGGGCUUGAAUGUACUGGAAGAAUAAGGAUCGGCUAACUCCGUGCCAGCAGCCGCGGUAAUACGGAGGAUCCGAGCGUUAUCCGGAUUUAUUGGGUUUAAAGGGUGCGUAGGCGGCCUAUUAAGUCAGGGGUGAAAGACGGCAGCUUAACUGUCGCAGUGCCUUUGAUACUGAUGGGCUUGAAUGUGGUUGAAGAUGGCGGAAUGAGACAAGUAGCGGUGAAAUGCAUAGAUAUGUCUCAGAACUCCGAUUGCGAAGGCAGCUGUCUAAGUCAUUAUUGACGCUGAUGC
rnacentral:rRNA from 1 species